rnacentral:rRNA from 1 species
GGGCGCAAGCCUGAUCCAGCAAUGCAUCGUGGGUGAAGAAGUGCCUUCGGGUUGUAAAGCCCUUUUGUACGGGAAGAAAUCGUCCGGGUUAAUACCCUGGGUGGAUGACGGUACCGAUAAGAAUACCACCGGCUAACUUCGUGCCAACAUCCGCGGUAAUA